CCGAUCCACCCUUUCGCUCCCGCUCACUUGGCUCGUCCCUUUCAACUCUUAGGCAAGGCUGAGCUUUUCCCUCCUUUUAUUUAUUUAUUUAUUUAAAAACCCUGCUCCCUACAAACCUGUCAUCCUAGUAAAGGAGGCCCGGACAAAAGGGCAGCACCAGAACUUUCCCCCUUAAGAGUCCGCUUCAAAGCGAACUGGCAGCCCAUUUGACUAAUUGAAAAAUGGAACGGAAUUAGACAGAGAACCCCUAGAACUCAUGGACAUCCAAUGAAGCUGAAUUUUGGAAGAUUCAAGAAAGUACUACUUCACACAGUGCGUUGUUAAACUAUGGAAUUCACUCCCGCAGGAGGCAGUGAUAGCCACCAGCUUGGAUGGCUUUAAAAGAAGAUUAGAUAGAUACAUGAAAAAUAAGGCUAUGGCUACUAGCUCAUGGUCAGAGAUCAUAUGCUUUUGAAUACCAGUUGCUGGAAACUGAUAUGUUCUUAAAGAGAUCAAGGUGGUGUACAUGGUUCUUCUGUUUCCAUUUUAUUCUCACAACAAGCCUGUGAGGUAGGUUAGGCUAAGAGUUUGGCACAAGGCCAUCAAGUGAGCUUCAUGGCUGAGUGGAGAUUUCAAAUCCUUUUUGCUCAAAAAGAAAAAAUGUGUAGUUCUUA